rnacentral:rRNA from 1 species
GACGAACGCUGGCGGCGUGCUUAACACAUGCAAGUCGUACGGUAAGGCCCUUUCGGGGGUACACGAGUGGCGAACGGGUGAGUAACACGUGAGUAACCUGCCCACAACUUUGGGAUAACGCUAGGAAACUGGUGCUAAUACUGGAUAUGUGCUCCUGCUGCAUGGUGGGGGUUGGAAAGCUCCGGCGGUGUGGAUGGACU